rnacentral:rRNA from 1 species
GACGAACGCUGGCGGCGUGCUUAACACAUGCAAGUCGAACGGUAAGGCCCUUCGGGGUACACGAGUGGCGAACGGGUGAGUAACACGUGGGUGAUCUGCCCUGCACUUCGGGAUAAGCAUGGGAAACUGGGUCUAAUACCGGAUAGGACUCCGGACUGCAUGGUCUGGGGUGGAAAGCUUUUGCGGUGUGGGAUGGGCCCGCGGCCUAUCAGCUUGUUGGUGGGGUGAUAGCCUACCAAGGCGACGACGGGUAGCCGGCCUGGGAGGGUGACCGGCCACACUGGGACUGAGAUACGGCCCAGACUCCUACGGGAGGCAGCAGUGGGGAAUAUUGCACAAUGGGCGCAAGCCUGAUGCAGCGACGCCGCGUGAGGGAUGACGGCCUUCGGGUUGUAAACCUCUUUCAGCACAGACGAAGCGCAAGUGACGGUAUGUGCAGAAGAAGGACCGGCCAACUACGUGCCAGCCGCCGCAGUAA